rnacentral:rRNA from 1 species
GAAAGAGAACCGGSGCACAGGUGCUGCAUGGCUGUCGUCAGCUCGUGUCGUGAGAUGUUGGGUUAAGUCCCGCAACGAGCGCAACCCUUGUCCUUAGUUGCUACGCAAGAGCACUCUAAGGAGACUGCCGGUGACAAACCGGAGGAAGGUGGGGAUGACGUCAAGUCCUCAUGGCCCUUAUGGGUAGGGCUUCACACGUCAUACAAUGGUCGGAACAGAGGGUCGCCAACCCGCGAGGGGGAGCUAAUCCCAGAAAACCGAUCGUAGUCCGGAUCGCACUCUGCAACUCGAGUGCGUGAAGCUGGAAUCGCUAGUAAUCGCGGAU